rnacentral:rRNA from 1 species
ACUCCUACGGGAGGCAGCAGUGGGGAAUAUUGGACAAUGGGCGUAAGCCUGAUCCAGCCAUGCCGCGUGUGUGAAGAAGGUCUUCGGAUUGUAAAGCACUUUAAGUUGGGAGGAAGGGCAGUUACCUAAUACGUAUCUGUUUUGACGUUACCGACAGAAUAAGCACCGGCUAACUCUGUGCCAGCAGCCGCGGUAAUACAGAGGGUGCAAGCGUUAAUCGGAAUUACUGGGCGUAAAGCGCGCGUAGGUGGUUUGUUAAGUUGGAUGUGAAAUCCCCGGGCUCAACCUGGGAACUGCAUUCAAAACUGACAAGCUAGAGUAUGGUAGAGGGUGGUGGAAUUUCCUGUGUAGCGGUGAAAUGCGUAGAUAUAGGAAGGAACACCAGUGGCGAAGGCGACCACCUGGACUGAUACUGACACUGAGGUGCGAAAGCGUGGGGAGCAAACAGGAUUAAUACCCUGGUAGUCCACGCCGUAAACGAUGUCAACUAGCCGUUGGGAGCCUUGAGCUCUUAGUGGCGCAGCUAACGCAUUAAGUUGACCGCCUGGGGAGUACGGCCGCAAGGUUAAAACUUAAAUGAAUUGACGGA